AAUACUGACGUGUCACUUAUUUAAUUCAUAAUAUAUAGGCUACUAAUUGGUGACGGAAAUAAUCCGUCACAAAACCCUUCAGCCAAUACAUUUGUCUUCUUCCUCACACAUUUCUUGUUUCUUUUUCUCCUCUUCUUCUUUCUCGCAGGUACUGGUAAUGCAGAACAAAUAAUUAAAGCUUCCCAGACCAGAAAAGUACUCAAAUCAUGUGGCACAACUGCAAAACACUCAAAGAUAUGUCACAGGCACAUGUGGCGAAUUAGCUGGUAACUGCUUCCAUAGCUCAGAUCCUGGAAGUAACACUGUCUCCUAACUCAAGAUUUUCCCUCUGUCAAUGGCUUGGACUAUUGGUCAUGGUUAGCAUUUUCCUAUGCUCUGUUUCCAUUCUCUAAAUUUUCUGUUGUUGGGGACUGGGGAGUCUGCGAGAGUGUGAGGUUUCUGAUUCUGAACGAUGAACAAACAAGUUUAUGGGUAUGAACGAACAGGUUUCUGGGAUCUGGGUUGGUUUUUGGGGGGUUUGGAUCGAUGGGGUUCUGCAGGAAAAUGGAUUCUGCAUUCUGGUACGGUCUGUGUCUAUAUAGGUUUCUGGUUUUUAUUCCCUUUGGUGGCUGGUUGCAGCGUGUUUGAAAGAAAAGAAUGUGAUAAUUCUGAAAUGUGUGAGGAAGAAGACAAAGGUAUUGGCUGAAGGGUUUUGUGACGGAUUAUUUCCGUCACCAAUUAGUAGCUUAUAUUUUAUGAAUUAAAUAAGUGACACGUCAGCAUUUCCAUUUGGUCAACUAACAGAGAUAGACGGAAGGGCUUCAAUCAACCGUUUUAGAAACAUGAGGGAGUUUGACCGCACAUUUUAAACACAGGAGGUGCAAACCGCACAUUUAUGAAACAUCAGGGACCCAAACUGGAAU